rnacentral:rRNA from 1 species
CAGGCCUAACACAUGCAAGUCGAACGAGACCUUCGGGUCUAGUGGCGCACGGGUGCGUAACGCGUGGGAAUCUGCCCUUGGGUUCGGAAUAACAGUUGGAAACGACUGCUAAUACCGGAUAAUGACGUAAGUCCAAAGAUUUAUCGCCCAAGGAUGAGCCCGCGUAGGAUUAGCUAGUUGGUGAGGUAAAGGCUCACCAAGGCGACGAUCCUUAGCUGGUCUGAGAGGAUGAUCAGCCACACUGGGACUGAGACACGGCCCAGACUCCUACGGGAGGCAGCAGUGGGGAAUAUUGGACAAUGGGCGAAAGCCUGAUCCAGCAAUGCCGCGUGAGUGAUGAAGGCCUUAGGGUUGUAAAGCUCUUUUACCCGGGAUGAUAAUGACAGUACCGGGAGAAUAAGCUCCGGCUAACUCCGUGCCAGCAGCCGCGGUAAU